rnacentral:rRNA from 1 species
UACGUAGGGUGCAAGCGUUGUCCGGAAUUAUUGGGCGUAAAGAGCUCGUAGGCGGUCUGUCGCGUCUGCUGUGAAAACUCAGGGCUUAACCCUGAGCUUGCAGUGGGUACGGGCAGACUAGAGUGCGGUAGGGGAGACUGGAAUUCCUGGUGUAGCGGUGAAAUGCGCAGAUAUCAGGAGGAACACCGGUGGCGGAAGGCGGCUCUCUGGGACGGUACUGACGCUGAGACGCGAAAGCGUGGGGAGCGAACAGG